ACAAAGAAAACCGCUGCCCAGCUCCUUCUUCAACAACGGCAUUUUCAAGGACGCUCUCGGCUCCGCAGACGGCCGUCACUGCAAAGGCCAGCCAUUGUCGUCAGUCCCUGGCUCCGCUGCAGCGAAGCACCGCCACAGCGUUCCUGCGAAGCAUUCGGCCCAGGCCUGUAGGUACGCGCAGCGCACUAGCAACAGGAGCAGCGAUGGCGUUUCCUUAUGCGCCCUCGCAUCCCAGCGUGGCGGGUACAUCGUUAAGCAGCGAGGUGCAACACUGCUACCAGCUGCAAUUGCGAGCUUCCUCACCCCGAAACGCCUUGAUGUAUCUUGCACAAGAAAAGAGGCGUUCGGUGGCUGCCAUGAACGAAAAUAAGCAGCGCGUUAUCAGCCGAUUUGCAAAGCUGCGGCGUCCUCUCAACGUCGCCGACAAGGGGCCCUUCCAGCGCAAGGUCGCCGAAGCUGCCGCCGUCCACCGAAGCUGCCGCCGUCCACCGCCGUCCACGCUGAUUUGUAUGCCGCCUGCCGCUGUCGCGUCCACGGCCAAGGUUCGCUCAGAUGCGAGACCGUACUACGUGUACUGCUACUGCAAACAUCCGCCACCUUGGAAGGAAGUGCCGUGCGAACGGCGCCGUCCUAUGAAGCCGCUUAAAACGAUUUCCUUGGACAAGGAAGAGAAUUAAACGAGCCGCGUCGACCACUC